UGGGGAAUAUUGCACAAUGGGCGCAAGCCUGAUGCAGCCAUGCCGCGCGUGUGAAGAAGGCCUUCGGGUUGUAAAGCACUUUCAGCGGGGAGGAAGGCGAUAAGGUUAAUAACCUUGUCGAUGGACGUUACCCGCAGAAGAAGCACCGGCUAACUCCGUGCCAGCAGCCGCGGUAAUACGGAGGGUGCAAGCGUUAAACGGAAUUACUGGGCGUAAAGCGCACGCAGGCGGUCUGUCAAGUCGGAUGUGAAAUCCCCGGGCUCAACCUGGGAACUGCAUUCGAAACUGGCAGGCUAGAGUCUUGUAGAGGGGGGUAGAAUUCCCGGUGUAGCGGUGAAAUGCGUAGGGAUCUGGAGGAAUACCGGUGGCGAAGGCGGCCCCCUGGACAAAAUCUGACGCUCAGGUGCGAAAGCGUGGGGAGCAAACAGG
rnacentral:rRNA from 1 species